rnacentral:lncRNA from 1 species
GCCACAUGAAGCAGAGUGGGGGCUGGGGGGUGAGCUAACAGGGUUCGUUCUUCCUCUCGUUGCAUUUAAAAAUAUGUGUCUUUCUUUGGUUCUGCUUCUGUCAGUUAUUGUCAGCUAUAUCCAGAAAAUAUAAUGUAUAGUCUCUAUGCCCUGUGGAAUUUUGGAGAGUGCAUGCUUUCAUCAGAGUCUUCACAAAGUGCUCACAACUGGUGGUCCCUCCUUACCUGGGUCGAUGCUCCUGUUUCUAUCUUGAGGUGCCCUGUGUGCAGUGCUAGUCCAAACUGUGUGUGUGUGAAAGCCAGCACAUCACCAGUUCUAAACAGGUUCUGUAUAUCUCUUCAGUUCUUCAUACCUGGGGCUAGAAUUAAAGAUGCCAGUACAACCACCAAAAGAUGUUAAGCGCUCAGAACCGGUUUCAAUUGGAGUUGAGCACUGAAGUACAAGGGUAGACUACAAAAUGCACAAUGUUCAAUGUUAUCUGAUGGUCACAAGGGAUCCUAAAACAUUGUACGUAAAGAUAUGGGAUAUACUUUAAAAGAUAUCCACUGUAUCUUAGGUAAGACUACUGAUGUGAAACAUCUAGCCUCCUCAGAAGAAAGAAUUAUAACAAAUCCUGCAAAUAUUUGUCCUCAUAAACAUUUCUGUUUUUUUUUUUUUUUUUUUUGUUUUUUGUUUUUUUUUUGCUGAAGAACUUGAACACCCACAUGUGGUAGUACUUAAAGUGAGGGAACUGGAACCUUUUGAAUUUUUUCAAGCUACUUUCACAAUCAGCAGAGAGCUGUGAAGCGAAAGGUUGACAUAUGGGUCACUUUUGCUGAUAUACUUGCUAGAUCACAAGCAGCUGCCACAAAAUUUGUUUCAAGGACAUAGAAAUCAUUGGGUUCCAUUAAGAGGGCUGCACACAUCUUAAUCUGCAAAACUGUAUACCUAAGUUUGAAAGUGGUCUGCUUCACUAACUAGAAAACACACAGAACAAAAACACCUUUGUAGGUCUUUCAAAAGAAUUGAUUUGCUAACUGUUAGAUAUUUUGAUGCAUUUCUCCUUUGAUAAAUAGUUGGAACAAAACUGGAAUGUCUAAACUAUUCACAAAUGUAAAUUAUUUCUAGGGAAGUAAACUUCCUUCAGAAAAACGGAAGCUGCUUUUCAGACUUAAGAAAUUUCUCCUUAAAAAUAGCUUAUAUCCUUCACUGUCUUCAAAUUUUCUGCCUGUUCAGAUGGUGCAUUUACUGUGGCAAUUGUAGUCAUUCACUGCAGAAGUAUCUACAUAAGGUUUGCACUGCUUCUUUUGUUUGUGUUUGCAUGGAUCAUGUAGACAGCAUACAAUCUGUUUAUGGUAAGGAAAAAGGUUGGUAUGACUUGUAUGUAUGUCUUGCAUAAUGAUUCUUCUCCAUUGUCAUAUUUUUGCUGCCUAAAAAGUUAUUACUAACAUUUUCAUUUGUAAAACCAGCACAAUGGUGGGAAAGUGAGCUGAACUAUCCUGUGAUGCAUGGAUUAGAGGUGGCUAUACUUUGACCGAUGGCCCGUAUUACUGCAGUGGACACAACUUUGCACUUGAGCUUAUGUUUGCUGAGCUGACAAAAGUUGGUGAGAGACAGUGAAGAUAAAAGCUGAAUUAAAAUUUGUAAAAAUAAUAAUAAUAAUAAUAAUAAUAAUAAUAAUAAUAAUAAUAAUAAUAAUAAUAAUAAACCUUCC